GGAUUUUGGCAGGUAUUCAAUUCAAAUAUCAACUUAAGACAAUCUGCAUAGACAAAUUGAUUUCUUAAUUAUUUUUAUAUACCUUCAUUUCUAGCAAAAAAUUUUGCUAAGGUUGAUGGUAUUAGUAUCAGAAGAUUGAUAGUAGAAAUGGCAGACAGUGGACAUUAAUCAGACCAUAUAGUAUUACUGGGCUGUACUGGAGACUCAUGGCCACAAUGUGAUCCUGCAGUGUAUUAUGUGGGUGACAAAAAGCAUUUAAAUUAACAUGAUUACCAAUUCUAAUGCAACAAAUUUGUAAGGUUCAUUUUGAUUGGAUAACCUCACAUAUUUAAAUGGCAUCAAUUGACAAUUGAUGCUAUGGGACGUACGCUCAAGCGCAGAUGGCAUAUGGCAAACUUUAAAUACAUGUUUUAACUUUGUUUUCAGUCAGUUUCAUUAGAAUGGAGAUAACAAUAUUGUAUUUUAAGCUCCGACGGCAUUAAUUGGCGAUUUGAUGGUCGCCAAUACUCGUUUACUGUCUCCGCUAAUGCGUCGCCAGUAAACUUUAUUUGAGACCAUCGAAUCCCCAAUUGAUGCCGUCGGAGCUUAAAAUACAAUACAGUUAUCUCCUAAUUGUUUGUUAUCUAAAGUGUUUUCAAUUAACUCAUUAUUCCCUGUAUAUGAAAAACUUUUCAUCAGCAUUUUGAAGCCAAAUAUUAAUUUAUUCACCAUAUUUUAUUUGUCUUAGCUAUGACAUGCAAACUAUUACAUAAAUAAUGGAGAAUGUGUACAUAGGACACUGACGAUGCCCCUGUUUGCAUAUUAUGUUAUGAAGAGGCAUAACUCAAAAAAGUAAAAGAGAGGCAUUCGCAAAUUCAAACUUAAUCUGUAUUUUGUGGUUAUAAGCAUUGUGUAUAAGUUUCAUAACAUUUGGUUGAGGCAAACUAUUGUUAGAAAACAGAAACGUAUAUACAGACCGACAGACACAUAAAGGUAAAACUAAAUGCCCCCUCCUCUGUGGCAGGGCAUAAAAAUUUCAAAAGAAUUUCUUAAAAUGCUGUCUUGUACCAAAUCAGGAAAAAUGGUCCUUGUUAUAUUAUAGUUCGUUUCUGUGAGUGUUUCAUUUUAAUGUUGUGUUUCUGUUGUUGUAGUUCUGCUCUUAUAUUUGAUGUGUUUCUCUCAGUUUUAGUUUGUAACCCGGAUUUGUUUUUUUCUCAAUCAAUUGAUGAAUUUCGAACAGCGGUAUACUACUGUUGCCUUUAUCUACAACCGUUCCUUCAAUCAUAGAAUUUAAGUAUUAUGAACAUGAUAAGUACAUAUUCCAAUGAAGGCUGUUUUAUAAUUAUCUAUCACUUUAUUGUUUGAAAUAUAGUGAUAUAUUACUUCUUUGUUACUCAACCAGUUCAAUAGUAAAAUGUUUGAGAUUUUAAAG
rnacentral:lncRNA from 1 species